rnacentral:misc_RNA from 1 species
GUAGGUGAACCUGCGGAAGGAUCAUUACACAAUAUUAUCGGGGGGCCGGACCCAAAGUGCGCGUUUUACGUGUGCCUUGACCUGCCCUGUCUGAAUAUUCUACCCAUGUCUUUUGCGUACUAUUCGUUUCCUCGGUGGGCUUGCCUGCCGAUUGGACAACAUAAAACCUUUUGUAAUUGCAGUCAGCGUCAGAAAUAACUUAAUAGUUACAACUUUCAACAACGGAUCUCUUGGUUCUG